AUUGAACGCUGGCGGCAGGCCUAACACAUGCAAGUCGAACGGUAACAGGAAGCAGCUUGCUGCUUUGCUGACGAGUGGCGGACGGGUGAGUAAUGUCUGGGAAACUGCCUGAUGGAGGGGGAUAACUACUGGAAACGGUAGCUAAUACCGCAUAACGUCGCAAGACCAAAGAGGGGGACCUUCGGGCCUCUUGCCAUCGGGUAUGCCCAGAUGGGAUUAGCUAGUAGGUGGGGUAACGGCUCACCUAGGCGACGAUCCCUAGCUGGUGUGAGAGGGUGACCAGCCACACUGGAACUGAGACACGGUCCAGACUCCUACGGGAGGCAGCAGUGGGGAAUAUUGCACGAAGGGCGCAAGCCUGAUGCAGCCAUGCCGCGUGUAUGAAGAAGGCCUUCGGGUUGUAAAGUACUUUCAGCGGGGAGGAAGGGAGUAAAGUUAAUACCUUGGCUCAUUGACGUUACCCGCAGAAGAAGCACCGGCUAACUCCGUG
rnacentral:rRNA from 1 species